AAAAAAAAAAAAAAAAAACCUUCAACCAGGUGACCGCAGCCAAGAAAAUGUGUGACUGUGUGUGCAUGAGUUAGUAAUGCACGUGCCCUGCUUCUCCAUCUUGCCCACACACCCCCCUUCUCAACAACAAUUCUGAAAAGCUAGCUAGCUAGAUACAAGAGAGAGAGAGAGAAGGUGAGGUCCUAAAAUGGUGAAAUGGGGAGAAGAGGCAUCUACAAAUUUUGUGAAAUCAGAGACCACUCAUAUAAAAUGCAAAAGAAGCAAAAGAGGUG
rnacentral:misc_RNA from 1 species